rnacentral:rRNA from 1 species
GCCUAACACAUGCAAGUCGAACGGCAGCACGGGAGCUUGCUCCUGGUGGCGAGUGGCGAACGGGUGAGUAAUGUAUCGGAACGUACCCCGUCGUGGGGGAUAACUCUCCGAAAGGAGAGCUAAUACCGCAUACGACCCGAGGGUGAAAGCGGGGGACCUGGGGUAACCUGGGCCUCGCGCGAUGGGAGCGGCCGAUAUCGGAUUAGCUAGUUGGUGGGGUAAGGGCCUACCAAGGCGACGAUCCGUAGCGGGUCUGAGAGGACGACCCGCCACACUGGAACUGAGACACGGUCCAGACUCCUACGGGAGGCAGCAGUGGGGAAUUUUGGACAAUGGGCGCAAGCCUGAUCCAGCCAUUCCGCGUGAGUGAAGAAGGCCUUCGGGUUGUAAAGCUCUUUCAGCAGGAACGAAACGGUGGGUCUUAAUACGGCCUGCUAAUGACGGUACCUGCAGAAGAAGCACCGGCUAACUACGUGCCAGCAGCCGCGGUAAUACGUAGGGUGCGAGCGUUAAUCGGAAUUACUGGGCGUAAAGCGUGCGCAGGCGGCGACAUAAGACAGAUGUGAAAUCCCCGGGCUCAACCUGGGAACGGCGUUUGUGACUGUGUGGCUAGAGUGUAGCAGAGGGGGGGUGGAAUUCCACGUGUAGCAGUGAAAUGCGUAGAGAUGUGGAGGAACACCGAUGGCGAAGGCAGCCCCCUGGGUUAACACUGACGCUCAUGCACGAAAGCGUGGGGAGCAAACAGGAUUAGAUACCCUGGUAGUCCACGCCCUAAACGAUGCCAACUAGGUGUUGGGGGAGGAGACUUCCUUAGUACCGUAGCUAACGCGUGAAGUUGGCCGCCUGGGGAGUACGGUCGCAAGAUUAAAACUCAAAGGAAUUGACGGGGACCCGCACAAGCGGUGGAUGAUGUGGAUUAAUUCGAUGCAACGCGAAAAACCUUACCUACCCUUGACAUGUCCGGAAUCCCGAAGAGAUUUGGGAGUGCUCGAAAGAGAGCCGGAACACAGGUGCUGCAUGGCUGUCGUCAGCUCGUGUCGUGAGAUGUUGGGUUAAGUCCCGCAACGAGCGCAACCCUUAUCAUUAGUUGCCAUCAUUGAGUUGGGCACUCUAAUGAGACUGCCGGUGACAAACCGGAGGAAGGUGGGGAUGACGUCAAGUCCUCAUGGCCCUUAUGGGUAGGGCUUCACACGUCAUACAAUGGUCGGUACAGAGGGUUGCCAACCCGCGAGGGGGAGCUAAUCUCACAAAGCCGAUCGUAGUCCGGAUCGCAGUCUGCAACUCGACUGCGUGAAGUCGGAAUCGCUAGUAAUCGUGGAUCAGCAUGUCACGGUGAAUACGUUCCCGGGCCUUGUACACUCCGCCC